CGGCAAUUAAAAAUGUCAACACCGGACUUUGAUUAAACGGAAACGUCAUCUGUUCGUUGACAAUUGUUCGAAAGUCGUUUUGUCCCCGAACGCAACGGCCAAUAAAGAAUCGCGACGUUAUAGAUGAAUUUUUUUUUCCGCGUCAGCUCUUACGGUCCGCGUUACCUCCGCUGUCUUGUUGCCUUUUCUUUUCUCGGGCGACUUUCACGCCGUCUAUCCAUCUCGGCGGUGUAUGGCGGCUCCCGGCUUUUUUCC